rnacentral:lncRNA from 1 species
UUUCAACCAAUGACGUCCAUUGAGGUAAACAACGUUCUGUGCCGUAUGAAUAUGUCCCUCGUUUAAGAAACAGAUUGGGUUUAUUUACAUUUGUGAAGAAAAAAGAUACCCUUCCCCCCCACCCCUAACCCUAACCCUAACUAACCCUAACCCUAAAACAGAUUGAAAUGCAAUAGAUCGAUACUAGUGUCAUAAUAAUGGGUGACAAUUUCAUAUGCUACCGCUAGAAAUAACUGCCGUUCAAACCGAAAAGAUCCCAUUUAUGAAAUAUGGAAUAAAAAUAUCGUCCAGUUACGAAGAUAAUAGGACGGUCAAUUUGAUUUCCCCAUUCCUCAUUUAAGCUAUUAUUUUUAUUCUUCCUCUUGCGGGGCUUAUAUGAAACCUACAGGACCUCGGAAUUGUGUAGUACCACCCCACCAACUUACCACCUCACCACCACCAUUUAUACUAAUGGAAGGUUUUUGAUCAACCGUUGAUUCUUUGAAUACUAAGGUAGCAAGAAUUAGCCAUGGGGUACUGAUGACAACCAGGGUUAUAAUUAACCCCUCAGUCUCUCUCUCUCUCUUUCUCUCUCUUUAUAUAUUUCUUUUGCUGCCAACAAGGGGGCUAAACACAGAGGGGACAAACAAGGACAGACAAACGGAUUAAGUCGAUUACAUCGACCCCAGUGCGAAACUGGUCCUUUAUUUACCGAAAGGACGAAAGGCAAAGUCGACCUCGGUGGAAUUUGAACUCAGAACGUAACGACAAACGAAAUACCUAUUCCUUUACUACCCACAAGGGGCUAAACACAGAGAGGACAAACAAGGACAGGCAAAGGGAUUAAGUCGAUUACAUCGACCCCAAUGCGAAACUGGUCCUUUAUUUAUCGACCCCGAAAGGAUGAAAGGCAAAGUCAACCUCGGUGGAAUUUGAACUCAGAACGUAGCAGCAGACGAAAUACCGCUAAGCAUUUCGCCCGGCGCGCUAACGUUUCUGCCAGCUCGCCAUAUAUAUGAGUUUGUGUGUGUUUGUAUGUGUGUCUGUGUGUGUGUGCGUGUCUGUGUGUGUAUGUACACACACAUAUAUAAAUCGUUUUUCUAAAGAUGGAACUCGUUGUAGCCAUUGCAAAUAAACUCUUUUUUCCAUCCGAAGUUUGUUUAACUCAACGUUUACCUAUUAUUAUGUAUAGCACCAAAUCCCUACUUUCUUCAAACUCUUCUCUUAAAAACAAAAUCGCAAUAAAUUUCUAACUUCUGAUGACGUAAGUGACAUUUCUCUCUCUCUUUCUCUCUCUCUCUCUCUCUCUCUCUCUCUCUCUCUCUCUCUCUCUCUCUCUCUUUAUGAACUGCUUCGGCAAUACAUAGACUAAAAUUGGAACGAUACAGAGAAGAUUAGCAUGGCCCCUGCGCAAGGAUGACCCGCAAAUUCGUGAAGCGUUGCAUAUUUUUUUGUAGGAACAGACAUAGUUGCGUGGUAAGUAGCUUGCUAACCAACCACAGGGUUCCGGGUUCAGCCCCACUCCGUGGCACCUUCGGCAAGUGACUUCUACUAUAGACGCAGACCGCCCAAAGCCUUGUAAGUGGAUCUGGUAGACGAAAACUGAAAGAAGACCGUUGUAUAUAUAUAUAUAUAUAUAUAUAUAUAUAUAUAUAUAUAUAUAUAUAUAUAUAUGUAUAUGAUUAUUUGUCUGUGUUUGUCCCGCCUCCAUCGCUUGAAAAUCGAUGUCGGUGUGUUUAUGUCCCCGAAACGUAGCGGUUCGGCAAAAAAGACCGAUAGAAUAAGUACUAGGCUUACAAAGAAUAAGUCCUGGGGUCGGUUUUUCGACUAAAGGCGUUGCUCCAGCAUAGUCGCAGUCAAAGAUUGAAACAAAAAAAUAUAUAAUAUAUGUAUAUAUAUAUAUAUAUAUAUACACACUAGAUAGAUAGAUAGAUAUUUAUGCGCAUAUACAUACAUACAUACAUACAUAUAUGCACAUACACACACAUACAUCCAAUACAAGCAUAUGUGGUACGUACAUAUGUGUAUAUGCAAUAUAAUAAAUAUUUAUAUCAUACAUACAGUUUGAAAUAUUGUAUGACCUCCUCUGUAUCAGGUUUCUUAUUUGCCUACCGCCAUGCAAAUUAAUUUACUGACGACUACGUCAACUAAUUACUUAUUAAUCACCUAAUUAUCUCAGUCAAUUAACUCUCUACUAAUAUACAUAUUAUUAUACUACCUGACGUUAAAUAUACCUCUCAGUUUACUCGGCUGUUUCCUUCAAUUUCUGAAUUGACUUUCUUGCCAAUUUCCACCAUGUUUUAAAUAUCCAGAGACUAAACCAACGCAACAAGUUGCUCGCAUUUCUGUCCAUCAUUUUAGAGAUAUAGCAGAUCGCUUCCAACCGGAAAUGCAAUCAAUACUUUCGAUUCCAAUCUACUAAAUACUUACCAAGCACCGAUCUAUACCCCAAUCUUUCUCCUUAGUAGCUGCCACUAUUAAAAUAUUUGGCUCAAACCUUCCUUCUAGACAAACCUGCCAAAGAUAAACUUUCUGUGUGAUCUUACGUCAUGCUAGAUAUAGCAGCCUAAUUUCCUUCAACUCACUCUUUGAAGUCUUAAAGAAAGAAAUUGCACAAUAUAAAAUGCAGCAAUAGUUAUACUAUGUGAUACAAAAUAUGAUAGGAAACCCGGGGUACCCUCGACGAUAGGGCAAUUCGAUGAGGGCUGAAACGGCAAUUAAAGAGGACGACAAAUAUAUGAUUGGUAAGAUGUACCGUGUCAAUAAUUUCAUUGCUGUUGAACUACCAUUAAACUUUAACGAGAUGUGAAUUCUCUAUUUCUCCCAGUAUCAAUAUGUUGUCGAUGACAUUUUCUUUCUAAUUCUGUGAACGUCAUCCAUUUAAACGCACGAGCUUUCUAUAAACCCCAUAUUGUGUUCAUUCUUAUUUGCAGUCCCUUCACUAAUCAUACACUCAGUCAGUUCUGUGAAGAACCAUUCCUCCGAAUUCCUUUCGCAGCCCAUCAACUUAAAGCCCCCAAAUUGCUGCCGUUGUCGGAGAAUAUCGACCAUAUCGAUCUCCCGAGGCUCGAAAGAUCUAUGACCGCCAUGUGUAUUGCUUCGUUUUUCUUUCUGAAAUAUUUAGCUGCCAAUCAGGGUCAUCGAUGCGUCGAACGAUGAUAGAGACAUGACGAAAGAGAAAGAGAAAUGCAUAAAUAGAAAUGAAUGAAUUAUCGGAAGAGGAUGAAGAUAGCGCUUUUGUGGAUAAUGAGUCGUUUUGACUCUUGUUUCUAGCAAUGUUGGUACCACUUUGUACCCUCUGUCACUUUUGUAACGUCUAUAGGUUUUAAACUUGCUAAUAAGCGAACAACAUUACUUAUCGUUUACAAUUCUACCUUUUUUGAAAUCAGCACAUGUUUUCUACGUUUAUUUCUUAUAAGUUGACGAGGCGAGUUGAGCUUAACCCUAGGUGCAUUAAGAGCCACUGAUGAGAAUUAAGACACUCUGCAUCAAAAUUUGAAAUCACGUGAUGUGACUAUAUCUGUGACCUUCGGGAGUAUUGUUUCCCUUGUCAAGUUUAUAUAUAUAUAUAUGCGCAGGAGUGGCUGUGUGGUAAGUAUCUUGCUAACCAACCACAUGGUUCCGGGUUCAGUCCCACUGCAUGGCAUCUUGGGCAAGUGUUUUCUAAUACAGACACAGGCGCAGGAGUGGCUGUGUGGUAAGUAGCUUGCUAACCAACCACAUGGUUCCGGGUUCAGUCCCACUACGUGGCACCUUGGGCAAGUGUCUUCUACUAUAGCCCCGGACCGACUAAUUCCUUGUGAGUGGAUUUGGUAGACGGAAAUUGAAAGAAGCCUGUCGUAUAUAUGUAUAUAUAUAUAUAUAUAUAUGUGUGUGUGUGUUUAUGUGUCUGUGUUUGUCCCCCUAGCAUUGCUUGACAACCGAUGCUGGCGUGUUUAUGUACCCGUUACCUAGCGGUUCAGCAAAAGAAUCCGAUAGAAUAAGUACUGGGCUUACAAUAGAAUAAGUUCCGGGGUCGAUUUGCUCGAUUAAAGGCGGUGCUCCAGCAUGGCCGCAGUCAAGUAAAAGAGUAAAAGUGUAUAGCGAAAAAAUGAAAGAAAAUGUUUGGAAGAAAGAAAGCUUUUGAGAAAGAAGCAAGAAAGAAGAUGAAAGAAAGAAAGAAAGACAGAACGAUCACAAUUAGAAGAGAGAGAUUUUGAGAAAAAUGAGGGAGAGAGUGGAAGAAUGAGAGAAUUUAGAAGAAAGAGUGAAAUAGCGAAAGAAAUAAAUGAAAGAAGUGAAGGAAAGGACAAAACAAUAAAUGUAAAUCAGAGAGAAGAACUGAGACUUAAAGACGGAAUGGGAAGAAAUAAUGAGUAAAUAAAUAUAUAAAUAAAAAAAGGGAAAGAAGAAGGUGAAAGAAAAGAAGACAAAGCAGGAGUAGUGGUGGUGGUGGUGGUGGUGGCGGGACAUAAGAAAUUUGCAAUGAAUAUUCAUGAGGGUGCUAAGUGACUAUUAGUGCUGUUUCUCUUUGCACAUGAAUAUUCAUUUGUUUCUUUAGUUAAUCUAAUUAAAUAUUCAUGCCCGGCUGUCUGUAAUUCGACAAUUGCACGGUGCGAUUUCAGCAGAAGAACAGAACAAACAAAACAUUCGGAGGGGUGGGGUAGGGUGGGGGAUGGGGGAUGGGGGAUGGGGGGGAGAAAGAAAAACCGAUGAUGAUGGUGCUGGUGGAGGCAGAGGUGGUGAUGGAGACGACAUAUCGAUGAUGAUGAAGAUGAUGAUGAUGAUAAUGAUGAGAAGAAAAGAGGAGGAGGAGGAGGAGGAGGUGGCCUAUAAAUGCAAUACAAAGACAUGCAAAACGAAAUGUGUGUGUUUGUGCGUGCUUAUCUGUAUAUGUAUAUACAUACAUACGCACACACAGACAUAUGUGUGUGUAUUUAUAUGAAUGUAUGUAUGUGUAUAUUUAUAUGAAUGUAUGUAUGUAUAUGUGUGUUUAUAUGUAUGUAUAUAUGUAUGUGUGUGUAUUUGUAUGAAUGUAUGCAUGUGUUUAUAUGAAUGUAUAUAUGUAUGUAUGUGUGUGUAUUUGUAUGAAUGUAUGUGUGUGUGUGUAUUUGUAUGAAUGUAUGUAUGUGUGUGUGUGUAUUUGUAUGAAUGUAUGUAUGUGUGUGUAUGUGUGUGUGUAUGCAUGUACUUAUCCCCUAUCCGUUGUGUAUCGAUGGAGCAGAAUUCUUACUUCUAGCAUCUCAUCGAUCUUGUGGUGGUGUGGUGAAGGAAACUCCACCUCCUCUCCGCGCCCGACCACUCUCCAACACCCCAUCCCACCCCUCAUGCCGGUGAAUGUAGUGAUGAAACGAUUAUCUAUGUCUCUGUACAGGUUGUCUAUGAAGUUCCGGUCGGUGGUGCUAUCGUCGAUGGAACGCCGCGUUGUAUGUCACAUAUCGUCGAGGUUUUCCAGUACUUCUUUCUAAGGAAUAUAAACUCUGCCUUACGAUUUCGAAAUGAGAGUUAUGUCAUCUUCCUUUUCGCUCUCUCCUCGGGCAAAGAGGCACUCUCCUUUGUAACAAGUAGCUUUCACAGUUUAUCCUUUGCACGCAGUUUAACUUUUAUUGUUUCUUCUUGGCUUGCAAUAUUAGCCACGGAUGGAUUGUUCUUGUUACUAGAACUGGUACUGCUUUUAUUAUUGCCAUCUAUGUUUGUAUCUUCAUUAUUAUUAUUAUUUUUUUUUUGUAUUUCUACAAUUGUCAUUGUCCGUGUUUAUAAUUAUCUCUCGUCGUUUAAUUGUCAUUUUUAUUUAUAUUCUGAAUUUUCAAAUAUUGAAAAGGGAAUAUUCCCUGCUCUGACCUUUAUGGCUAACAUUACCGCCCGCUAGCCCGACGGUGGAUGCAUUGGACCACUAGUAAACAAAGUAUUCGCAAAUAUAUUCGCACCAUAAAAUGUCUAAUGAGGAACCUUUUUAUUCAUCCAAGAUAAGCGGAUGAACGUUCAAAUCUUCUAAAGUCUUUUGUUGCUAAAAUGAACUAAAAUAAAUAAAUCAACAAUUAAAUAAUACCAAGUUUUGUUUUUCUUUUUAAUGAAAUAAUCUUGGAAGAAAAUAUUUUCUAAGUUUUGAUUUGUGAAAACGUGAUCUUCCACAACCAACAGCAACGAUGACGUCGAUGACAGGGAUAGUGCUGGUGGUGGCGGUGGUGACGUCAACGGGGAUAACGUAACAGUGAAGUAUCCACCGUGGAGGCACAUGGCCUAGUUGUUAGGGCAGCGGACCCGCGGUCGAAGGAUCGCGGGUUCGAAUCUCAGACCGGGCGAUGUGUCUGUUUAUGAGCGAAAACACGUAUGCUCCACGCGGCUCCAGGAGAAGGAAAUGGUGAAAUGUCUGCUGACUCUUUCGCCACAACUUUCUCUCCCUCUUUCCUCCUGCAUCAUGCAGCUCACCUGCGAUGGACCGGCGUCCCGUCCAGGUGGGGAACCUAUACGCCAAGAAACCGGGAAACCGGCCCUUAUGAGCCAGGAAUGUUUCGGGAAGGAACAAGAAGGAACAAACAAGGUGGACUUAGAGAGAUAAAGCUAAAAUUUUGUCCGACCAAUAACGAUAAUAACACCCCGGGAGGACCAACGAGCCACUAUGUGAUCACUGAAUUUGCUUGUAAUAGCAGCCACAUCUCAGUCAAAUGGUACCUUACUGCUUUCUACUCAAAACAAUCCACCCAAUAUUCUGUGAGUGGGGGACAUUAAAUGAAAAUAUCUCAGUCAAUAAUUGUUCAGCCAUGACUGAAAAUCAGUAACGUGAUCACCAAAAUCGAAUAAUUGAUAAUCAUGACGAUGAUGACGGUGAUGAUGGUGAUGCUGAUAUCGAUGUUAACCAAUGACAGCGAUGAUGAUGAGAAUGACAAAGAUUACAUCCACCCAUAUUAUUCCCUUAUCGUGCUACGUUCCACUCCAGAUGACCAGCUCAUCGAACCGUCACGGAACACAAUGCUUCACUCACCGACCCAAACACAUUUAACACAAAAUAUCUUCUGACCAGUGAAUCGCCCCGACAAUCUUUCAUUAUUGUAGUUGAUAAGGAACACACCAUACAAAUAUUUCAAACAUAAAAACAAAAAAAGACAUAAAACAAAACCACCACCACCAUCAUCAUCAUCAUCACCACCACCACCACCACCACCAUUACCAUCAUUGCUACAACAAACAUCAGCGCCACCAACUCAGCCAACCAUCAAAAUAAAUCGAAGCCACAAAUGUGGUCAGCUGUCUUUCUAGAAAUGGCAGGAAGAUUUUGGUCGAAUCGCUUAUGCUAUUUCCAUCGUAUGGUUAUUGAGGCCAGGGAUCUCCAUCAGAAAAGUACCCUUCCAAGAUAAAGACCUAAGCAACGGGUUUUAAACUCAGAGUGCAAAGAAAUGGCACCCUAACGCCUCUUACAAUUCACAACAUUAUUGUCUCAAAAACAAGGAGGCACGUUCUGGAUAAUGUUAUAGUGGAUGAUCACGGUUGGAAGGUUUUUGAUAAUGUGUUCAUUCAAAGCUGAGCUGGGGCUAAAUAGCAUUAAUACUACCAUGACCAUCACCACUAAAACUCACCAAUACAAUCAUCACCAAAUACACAACUACACCUUAUAACGCCACAACGACGACGACCACCACCACCUCCACCAACACCACAACUAUUAACUUCACCAUCUCCAUCACUGCAACCCCUACUGCCACUGUCACAAUCAGUAAGGCCUCUACCAUCCGCACCACCCUCAUGCCAAUAGAUGUCAACUAAGAUGAACCAGUCACUUUAUCUCGAGAUAAGACAGUUAUUUCUUUGGCAAUUUGUGUCAAAAUAAAAUAGCAGGAGGUGGGACAUUCUUUGUCCAAGUUAUUCUGGUUGUUGUUGUUGUUAUUGUUGUUUUUGUUGUUGUUGUUGUUGUUUAGUUAUAAGUAUUGCUGUUGUUCUUGCAUUUAUUGUUCUUUUAUUGAUAUUAUUUCGUUUUCGGAUUUCAAGAAUAUUUUUUUUCUUAUUCUGAUAAUCUUGCCAUUAUUACUUUCCUUGCUCGUGAUGAUGAUGAUGGGGGUGGGUGGGGGUUGUGAUAAUGAUGAUGAUGAUGAUGAUGAGGAGGAGGAGGAGGAGGAGGAGGCGGAGGAAGAGGAGGCGGAGGGGGAGGAAGAGGAGACUUGCUUCAUGUAAUGCCGGAAGUUUGUGAAUUCGUUCUAUAUUUAUUCGAUGAGCGUUUAGCAUAAUUCUUUACUUGUCAAAGUUUGUCCAUAUUUUUGGUUCUUUUCGUUGCUUCCGGUGUUUCGUUGGUUGCAUCGGUGUUUAUAUUUGGUUUCUGUUUUUACGUGGGUGACCAAACUGAGGCAGUAAAUAGGACAAGAAUGAAGAAUGCUCAUCCUAAAGUCAUUUGCAAUACUUUAUACAUACGCACACACGCACACACGCACAUACACACACACACAUACACACACACACAAGCCUGAACAAGAUAGGUUUCAAUAAGAGUCUACAAAAUUUUAAGUUGUAUGUAGCCGAACAAAACUGUUUUCAAUUAUAAUAAUAAUAAUAAUAAUAAUAAUAAUAAUAAUAAUAAUAAUAAUAAUAAUAAUAAUAUUGAUAAUAAUAAUAAUAAUAAUAAUAAAUAAAAAUAUUCUGCUCAAUACCACAGAUUUGCUUGUCAGUUGUUUGACCUUAACCAGUUGAGCAUGUCCCUUAGUGGCUGACGAUAUGUGCAUCUCUGAUCACGAGCAGAAGUAGUGGGGGAGCAUCAUAGCCAUGUGUUGAGAGGGAUGCUUUGGGGUUUGAAUAGUUCACCUCUGGAAACAUGGGUGGUUCUUUCAACAUCCUUAAACAACCCUUAUUCGUGGACCGUUUGAGCGGGAUGGGCUACUCAACCUGAAGAAAAUUCAAACUGGGCCCCACCUCCAAGGUCAUGUGCUGUUUAUCUUGAUAUGAGAUCACCAUGUCGCGCACAUAUGGUUGUGAUGCAUGUGCCUGGUGUACCUUUAUCAGACGGGUAGUCAUGAUGGGUAUAUUGGGCUUCGUAUAUUUUACCCCAGUGUCACUUUGAUGGCAUGAACUGCUCUCUCACUCAAUGAUAAUAAUAAUAAUAAUAAUAAUAAUAAUAAUAAUAUAAUAAUAAUAAUAAUAAUAAUAAUAAUAAUAAUAAAAAUGAUAAUAAUAAUAAUAAUAAUAAUAAUAAUAAUAAUAAUAAUAAUAAUAAUAAUAAUAAUAAUAUAAUAAUAAUAUUGAUAAUAUUAUUCAAGAUCACAUCCCCUGCCCAAUUCAAGAUCACAACAUACAUGUACACUGCAACAUAAUUUCUUUUCCUCAACAGGCCCUGCCCUAUUUAACAUUGUCCCGAAAGGGAUGAAAGAGGAAAAGGAUCCCAUCAACUUUAAACGGAGUCUUGAUAGAUUCCUUCAAAGAAUACCAGACAAGCCACCCAUAAUUGGAUACAACUCACCCAACAAGAACUCACUACUUGAAUGGACCAUAAACAAAACUUGACUUAAACAGGAUUCGAAUAAUCCUAUCAGGUGGUGCUAUUAAGUUAGACAUGGCCUGGACCAAUCUUUGGUCGAAACAUAUCUAAGUUUAUAUAUAUAAUAUAAUUAAUAAUCAUGUUUUCUUUAUUGGCCACAUAAGGCUACAUAGAAUACACAGGGACGCAAAUACAAGGGUGCAAAAGGAGGGGUCUACCGUGUAAAUAUAAAACAAUAACAGGCGCAGGAGUGGCUGUGUGGUAAGUAGCUUGCUAACCAACCACAUGGUUCCGGGUUCAGUCCCACUGCGUGGAAUCUUGGGCAAGUGACUUCUGCUAUAGCCCCGGGCCGACCAAUGCCUUGAGAGUGGAUUUGGUAGACGGAAACUGAAAGAAGCCUGUCGUAUAUAUGUAUAUAUAUAUUGUAUGUGUGUGUAUAUGUUUUGUGUCUAAUAAUAAUAAUAAUAAUAAUAAUAAUAAUAAUAAUAAUAAUAAUAAUAAUAAUAAUAUUGAUAAUAAUAAUAUGACUAAUAAUAUGUUUUCUUUAUUGGCCACAUGGGCUUACAUAGAAUAACAAGGAUGCAU